AGUAAAAGUCGUAACAAGGUUUCCGUAGGUGAACCUGCGGAAGGAUCAUUACCGAGUGAGGGCCCUCUGGGUCCAACCUCCCACCCGUGUUUAUUUUACCUUGUUGCUUCGGCGGGCCCGCCUUUACUGGCCGCCGGGGGGCUCACGCUCCCGGGCCCGCGCCCGCCGAAGACACCCCCGAACUCUGUCUGAAGAUUGCAGUCUGAGUGAAAACGAAAUUAUUUAAAACUUUCAACAACGGAUCUCUUGGUUCCGGCAUCGAUGAAGAACGCAGCGAAAUGCGAUACGUAAUGUGAAUUGCAAAUUCAGUGAAUCAUCGAGUCUUUGAACGCACAUUGCGCCCCCUGGUAUUCCGGGGGGCAUGCCUGUCCGAGCGUCAUUGCUGCCCUCAAGCCCGGCUUGUGUGUUGGGCCCCGUCCCCCGAUCCCGGGGGACGGGCCCGAAAGGCAGCGGCGGCACCGCGUCCGGUCCUCGAGCGUAUGGGGCUUUGUCACCCGCUCCGUAGGCCCGGCCGGCGCCUGCCGAUCAACCCCAAAUUUUUAAUCCAGGUUGACCUCGGAUCAGGUAGGGAUACCCGCUGAACUUAAGCAUAUCAAUAAGCGGAGG
rnacentral:rRNA from 1 species